GGUCCGUGAUGAGCUGUAAAAGGUCUGAUGCCCAAUUCCCCACCCAGUUAACCUUUGGCUCCCAGCAGUUCCUGCUUUGUUCCCAGCAUGCUCUAGCUGUGCAGUGUUGGCUUCAGGUCUGCUGACAGGUUUCAUGUGCCUCAUAGCCUGUGAGUCUUUAAGAUUCAGACGUCACGAUCACAGCACAUUAAACAUGAAGAAAUGCGCAAUGGAGUAUCGGGGUCUGGAUGUGGGGAUAGGCAGCUGAUCUCAAGUUUUCAAGCUGAGACC
ensembl:scaRNA